rnacentral:misc_RNA from 1 species
GAUGAAGAACGCAGCGAAAUGCGAUAAGUAAUGUGAAUUGCAGAAUUCAGUGAAUCAUCGAAUCUUUGAACGCACAUUGCGCCCGCCAGCACUCUGGCGGGCAUGCCUGUCCGAGCGUCAUUUACCACCCUCGGGCCCCCUGGGGGGCCCGGUGCUGGGGGCUCGGCCCAGGCCGCCCCCGAAAUGCAGUGGCGACCCCGCCGCGUCCUCCCCUGCGCAGUAGCACAAUCUCGCACCGGAAGCGCGGAGGCGGUCACGCCUGGAAACGCCCCAACUCAACGCAGUUGACCUCGGAUCAGGUAGGAGUACCCGCUGAACUUAAGCAUAUCAAUAAGCGGAGGA